rnacentral:rRNA from 1 species
UACGAAGGGGGCUAGCGUUGUUCGGAAUCGUUGGGCGUAAAGGGCGCGUAGGCGGCCGGCCAAGUCGGGUGUGAAAUCCCUCGGCUCAACCGAGGAACUGCACUCGAUACUGGCUGGCUAGAGUCCGGGAGGGGAUGGUGGAAUUCCCAGUGUAGCGGUGAAAUGCGUAGAUAUUGGGAAGAACACCGGUGGCGAAAGCGGCACCCUAGCGUUAGCCUGACGCUCAUGUGCGAAAGCGUGGGGAGCGAACGGG